rnacentral:sRNA from 1 species
CCAGGGUUCGAUUCGAGCGCAGCGAGAAAGCGUUGCCGCAGGCAACGACCCGAAGGGCGAAGCGCGCAGCGCUGAGUCAUCCUUCCCCCACCACCA